GGCCUGGACGAUCGCCCGCGACGCCCAACAGCAGCAACAGCAACCACCCAACUUUAGCAUCUUCCACGACUUUCAUCAAGGUCCGUAUAUAUUUACUUUUUGGGGGUUUUUCUUCUUUUUCUAUCACACAGAACAGGUCGCAAAUGAUUCCAUAAGUAGUGGCGAGCGAAAGUGGAAAAGCCUAAACCAGUCAAACUUGUUUGAUUGGGGUUGUGGGACUUCAAUGUGCUAGGUUUAGAUGACUGGCUAACCAUUUGGAAAAAUGGGCCUUAGAGUGUGAAAGCCGCGUAACCAGUCGUUGAAAUUGGCUAGAAGCAUCCCAAGUAACACAGUGCACGUGAAACUCUGUGCGAAUCCGUCCGGACCACCGGAUAAGGCUAAAUACUACUUGGCAACCGAUAGUGAACUAGUACCGCGAGGGAAAGGCGAAAAGAACCCCUGCUAGGGGAGUGAAAUAGAUCCUCAAACCAUCUGCUUACAAUGUGUAGGAGCGCUGCAAAGCGUGACUGCUUGCCUUUUGCAUAAUGAGUCUGCGAGUUAUCGUCAGUAGCCUGCCAAAAUAUAGCAUAUUAAGGCGAAGGGAAACCGAGUGCAAAAUGCGCGAUCGUUGCUGGCGAUAGACCCGAAGCGGAGGUGAUCUACUCUUGAGCAAGUUGAAGCUAUGGUAACACAUAGUGGAGGACUGAACUCGUGGAUGUUGAAAAAUCCUGAGAUGACUUAAGAGUAGGAGCGAAAGACUAAUCAAACCCCGUGAUAGCUGGUUCUCUCCGAAAUCGCUUGAGGGCGAGCGUUGAGUAAGUUCUCUGUAGAGGUAGAGCACUGGAUGGCUUAGGGACCCCACCAGGUUGCCAAAACCAAUCAAACUCCGAAUUCUACAGAUCUCUUUAACUCAGCAUUCAGGCUGCGAGGGAUAAGCUUCGUGGCCAAGAGGGCAACAGCCCAGAUCGUCGACUAAGGCGCCAAAAUUAUGCUCAGUGGAAAGGAUGUGACGUUGCUUAGACAGUGAGGAUGUUGGCUUAGAGGCAGCCAUCAUUUAAACAGUGCGUAAUAGCUGACUCAUCGAGCGAUGUCGCGCCGAAAAUGAUUGGCGAUAAAGCAUAAUGCCGAAAUCACGAAUUGCCAUGUGGUUCGCCACAUAGCAGUGGUAGGAGAGCGUAUUCUUUUUGGUAAAGCCAAACUUAAAGGGAUGGUGAAAAAAAGAAUAGUGAGAAUGCAGACACGAGUAGCGAUAAACCAGAUAAGAAUUCUGGUCGCCGUAAACCCAAGGUUUCCUAGGCUAGGUUCGUCCUCCUAGGGUUAGUCGGGAGCUAAGGUGAGGCCGUAAGGCGUAAUCGAUGCACAGCAGGUCAACAUUCCUGCACCACGGUUGUUUUAAGUAGGGCCGCAAAUACCAACAUAAAAACAUCGUUGAUUGAUGUAGCUUAGGCUUAGGCCAAAGCAUUUUAUAGAUGUGUUUGCCUAGAAAAUCCCUACCGGUAGCAGUCGUGCCCGUACCGUAAACCGACACAGGUAGGUGAGUGUAAAUGCACUCAGGCGCGCGAGAGAGACCUCUCUAAGGAACUCGGCACAUUAGCCCCGUAACUUCGGGAAAAGGGGUGCUCUACUUUGUAGAGCCACAGUAAAUUGCGUUUACCGACUGUUUAACAAAAACACAGCUCUCUGCUAAGUCGUAAAGACAAUGUAUAGGGAGUGACACGUGACCAAUGCGGAAAGAUCAAGGUAAGCUGUCAGCCGCAAGGCGAAGCGGUGAGCCCAAGUCCCCGUGAAUGUCGGCCGUAACUAUAACGGUCCUAAGGUAGCGAAAUUCCUUGUCGGGUAAGUUCCGACCUGCACGAAUCGUGUAACGAGUGAACGACUGUCUCGGAGAGGAUCUCGGCGAAACUGUAAUUGCGGUGAAGAUGCCGCAUGCCCGCAGUAGGACGGAAAGACCCUAUGCACCUUUACUAUAGUUUAACAUUGAUUCCGGGUAAGUGAUGUGUAGGAUAGGUGGGAGGCUUUGAAGCAGUGGCGCCAGCCAUUGUGGAGCCAACGUUGAAAUACCACCCUUUACUUACUUGGAGUCUAACUCCCAACGGAGGACAUUGUUUGAUGGGUAGUUUGACUGGGGUGGUCGCCUCCGAAAGGGUAUCGGAGGCUUUCAAAGGUUCGCUCAGUACGCUUGGUAACCGUACGUAGAGUGCAUUAGCAUAAGCGAGCUUGACUGUAAGGCCGACAAGCCGAACAGGUGCGAAAGCAGGAUAAAGUGAUCCGGUGGUUCCGUAUGGAAGGGCCAUCGCUCAUAGGAUAAAAGGUACGCUGGGAUAACAGGCUGAUCCCUCCCAAGAGCUCACAUCGACGGGGGGGUUUGGCACCUCGAUGUCGGCUCGUCACAUCCUGGGGCUGGAGAAGGUCCCAAGGGUUCGGCUGUUCGCCGAUUAAAGUGGC
rnacentral:rRNA from 1 species